rnacentral:rRNA from 1 species
UACGGCGGGGGCUAGCGUUGUUCGGAAUUACUGGGCGUAAAGCGCACGUAGGCGGAUUGAAAAGGUGGGGGUGAAAUCCCGGGGCUCAACCUCGGAACUGCCUCCAAAAGUAUCAAUCUGGAGUUCGAGAGAGGUGAGUGGAAUUCCGGGUGUAGAGGUGAAAUUCGUAGAUAUUCGGAGGAACACCAGUGGCGAAGGCGGCUCACUGGCUCGAUACUGACGCUGAGGUGCGACAGCGUGUGGAGCAAACAGG